UUCCCCAGCAAGGUCCCAGUGAAUCUGAUGUCCCAGUACCAUUCAGUCACAAAUGACCAGAUCAAAGUUGUCCCCAAGAGCCCAGAAGACAGGGAUAGGUCAUCAAAGGUGCACAUUAAAGGGACUGCCUGGCUUUUCUCAUCAGGUUGGACCCAUACACAGUGCGUUUAAUGCCUCUGUCCUGUGUGAUGGAAAUGACUAGGGAAGAAUUGAUUAGGAAACAUUGCUUUGGCUAUUCUCCAUCCCAGGCCUGGCUGGCGCCAUCACCCACAAGUUAAAAGAAAAACAGCCAUUCUCACUUGCAGCUACCCGUUGUGAUGACUAAGAUGACAAAGACACAAAACUUCCCAAGUAAAAAAUUGCUACAAGAUCUAAUCUGGAAUGAAGCAAUGUUAUCCAGGAGGGGGGCAUCAAACACUAGAGAUCUUCUUCAAUAGUGGUGAUAAUCAAUAAAUAU